AUGGCGGCGCCGUUGGGCCUGGCGAGGCGGUUGCUGGUGCCCGUAAGGCUCCCGGAGCGCGCAUGGAAGCGUUCUGCCUUCAUUGUAACCAAGCAGCACGAUAAUGGACCCCAGUGGGUAAAAGUUGCAGUGACCUUGGGCGCAGCUGCAGCCCUGUGGCGCCUACUCUUCGUGAUACGCAAGAGGGAUUUGAAGGAAUAUGAAAGAAGACAAAAAGCACUAACCGAAACAUGUACAGACACUCAGACACCUCUUCGCCAGAUGUCAUCCGGCAGCACUGCCGCUGGCCCUCUUCGAUGGACUUCGGUUCUCUAUGCAGCUUCCGGUAUUUUUUCCGUUGGUGGCUUAUAUUAUUUUCUACUGAACCACAAAGUGCUGCUUUCUUUCCUACCUCUCUCCACAAAUCCACCUGUGAGGCAAAUAGAAUCAACUCACUGAGAGCAACUCAAAAGAGAGAAUGUUAUUACUGUCAUUUUUUUUCAUUCUCAUACUUCAG
rnacentral:lncRNA from 1 species